rnacentral:rRNA from 1 species
UACGAGGGGGGCGAGCGUUGUUCGGAAUUAUUGGGCGUAAAGGGUGUGUAGGCGGUUUGGUAAGUCUGAUGUGAAAUCUAUGGGCUCAACUCAUAGUCUGCAUCGGAAACUGCCGGGCUUGAGUGUGGGAGAGGUGAGUGGAAUUCCAGGUGUAGCGGUGAAAUGCGUAGAUAUCUGGAGGAACACCGGUGGCGAAGGCGGCAUCCUGGACCAACACUGACGCUGAGGCGCGAAAGCUAGGGGAGCAAACAGG